GCUACCAUGCAGUCGAGCGGAACGAGUUAUCUGGCCUUCGGGGAACGAUAACGGCGUCGAGCGGCGGACGGGUGAGUAAUGCCUAGGAAAUUGCCCUGAUGUGGGGGAUAACCAUUGGAAACGAUGGCUAAUACCGCAUGAUGCCUACGGGCCAAAGAGGGGGACCUUCUGGCCUCUCGCGUCAGGAUAUGCCUAGGUGGGAUUAGCUAGUUGGUGAGGUAAGGGCUCACCAAGGCGACGAUCCCUAGCUGGUCUGAGAGGAUGAUCAGCCACACUGGAACUGAGACACGGUCCAGACUCCUACGGGAGGCAGCA
rnacentral:rRNA from 1 species